rnacentral:rRNA from 1 species
CAGAAUUCGCCCUUAGAGUUUGAUCCUGGCUCAGGAUGAACGCUGGCGGCGUGCCUAACACAUGCAAGUCGAACGGAACUUCUUUGACAGAAUUCUUCGGAAGGAAGUUGAUUAAGUUUAGUGGCGGACGGGUGAGUAACGCGUGAGUAACCUGCCUUUGAGAGGGGAAUAACUUCCCGAAAGGGAUGCUAAUACCGCAUAAUGCAUAUUUAUCGCAUGGUAGAUGUGCCAAAGAUUUAUCGCUCAAAGAUGGACUCGCGUCCGAUUAGCCAGUUGGCGGGGUAACGGCCCACCAAAGCGACGAUCGGUAGCCGGACUGAGAGGUUGAACGGCCACAUUGGGACUGAGACACGGCCCAGACUCCUACGGGAGGCAGCAGUGGGGGAUAUUGCGCAAUGGGGGAAACCCUGACGCAGCAACGCCGCGUGAAGGAUGAAGGUUUUCGGAUUGUAAACUUCUUUUAUUUAGGACGAACAAUGACGGUACUAAAUGAAUAAGCUCCGGCUAACUACGUGCCAGCAGCCGCGGUAAUACGUAGGGAGCAAGCGUUAUCCGGAUUUACUGGGUGUAAAGGGUGCGUAGGCGGCUUGGUAAGUCAGAUGUGAAAUGUAUGGGCUCAACCCAUGCACUGCAUUUGAAACUAUUGAGCUUGAGUGAAGUAGAGGUAGGCGGAAUUCCCUGUGUAGCGGUGAAAUGCGUAGAGAUAGGGAGGAACACCAGUGGCGAAGGCGGCCUACUGGGCUUUAACUGACGCUGAGGCACAAAAGCGUGGGUAGCAAACAGGAUUAGAUACCCUGGUAGUCCACGCUGUAAACGAUGAUUACUAGGUGUGGGGGGUCUGACCCCUUCCGUGCCGGAGUUAACACAAUAAGUAAUCCACCUGGGGAGUACGACCGCAAGGUUGAAACUCAAAGGAAUUGACGGAAGG